GACGAGCCACCCGAACGUUAUUCGGAAUUACUGGGCUUAAAGGGUGCGUAGGCGGUGUAGCAAGUCGGGAGUGAAAUACCCCAGCUUAACUGAGGAAGUGCUUUCCGAACUACUGGACUUGAAUACUGAAGAGGAUCGCGGAAUUCCCGGUGUAGAGGUGAAAUUCGUAGAUAUCGGGAGGAACACCAGUGGCGAAGGCGGCGAUCUGGGCAGAUAUUGACGCUGAGGUGCGAAAGCGUGGGGAGCAAACAGG
rnacentral:rRNA from 1 species